AGUUUCUGUGGGAGGUGGCACGGGGUGGAUGUCAGAGGCUGCCCUCCAGGUGCUGGCAAUCUUGCUUGCCAUCCUCCACCCCCAAACAGCAUACCCACCUCGAAGUGAGAGACCAUGGCAUCCAUGAGCUCCUCGCAGAAUGGAGGGUUGGCCUCAAAGGAACCACUCAGCGGGGAGAAGUCCAGGCAGGGCCUGGGGACAGAGAUGACGGAACCCAAGUGCAGAGAGGCUAAGUGAUGAGCCCCAGGUCACAGAACCAGCACUUAGUGGAACGGACUCCAACAGGUCUGUCCCCCGACAGCACAUGCUCUCAGCCACUGGGCUCGAGUGCCAUCCCCAAGCCCAACUGGCCAACCCCUGCUCCUGCUCAGGGUGGAUGAAAACAAAGGAGGCCGUGGCCCAGGAGACAGCUACCUUCUCGCUGCUGGCACAGCUCCCGGUAGUGCUGCCGAAGCUUCAGGAUGAGCUGGGAGCGGAGCAGCUCCACCUCGGGAUGCGGGGGCAGCACCUCUGAAGGGCCCCGGUGCUUGAUGACAGCGUUGGUCUGGAUAUCGAGAUCCCAGUACACCCUUGGGGGGUGGAGGAGCAAUGAGGAAAGUAGAGAAAAGGGAGGAAGGGCACCCUGCCCGUCACCACAACCUCAGCCCCAGGCACCAACAAUGGGUGCCCCCAAGCCAAUCCACAAGGACUCACUCAGUGGGUCGGAGGAGAGCUGCCUGCUGUUUAUCUUCAGGGGAUGUUCCCCAAAUCUUCAGUGUUGGGGUUCCUGGGAUGCUGGGGGAACUGGGCACCGAUGGACCUGUGGGUGUCACAGGGAUUUCGAUCUGGAGCAAAAGAGUCAAAGACAUCAAGUUAGAAGCGUUGGCCGAUGGCUCCAGCGCUGUGUACACUGGGGAGCUGUGCACGGGGCUCCCCUCCUGACUAACCUGACAGGCCCAGCUGCCUACCAGGAAGCUGAGACACUCACCUUGGGCUUCUUCACACCAUUGCCGCUUGGCUGCUCUUCUGAGAGCUGCCGCUUUCGGGACUUGUUCUCAGCUGGAGGGGUUUCCACCAAGCUUGAGUCUUGGGGCAGUGGGGUCGCAUUCAGCCCCAAAGGGUCCGACUGGAGGAGGAGACCAGCAGAGUUGCAACCAGAGCCAGCAGCUUAGGAGUCCCAGUACUGCGGAAUCCUGAUGGCCCCCCACCCCCUGCUCCUACUCCUCAGAGAAGAACAGGGGGCUGGGAUGCAGAACACUGGGUACUACUCCUGCCUGCUACUUGCAACUAUGUGACCUUGGGAGUUACUUCCCUUCCUAAUUCCCUCACCUUCAAAACGGCCACGAUACCUCACCACUGAGAUGAUGAUUAAACAAGUCAAUGAAUAUGACCAGCUUAAUGUGGCAUCUGGCAUGAGGUCAGCACUCAAUGUGUUAGCUUUUUCCUUAAGAACCAAAAUGAAAGUCAGGAAUGAAGAGAAAAUUCAAGAAAUGCUUGUUUUUUAAAAAGCAAGGCCCUGUGGUGGAACUCCUUUGGUGACAGAAUAUGAAAGUGAUGGUGGGCAGUGGGGCCCUGAAAUCACAUCAGGUACAAAUCCUGCUCUGCCUCUUACUGGCUGUGAGGUCCUGAGCCAGUCUUUUCGCCUCUCUGAGCCUCAAUGUCUUCAUCUGCAAAAUGGGAAUGCCAACUGGCUUGACUGUUUCCAAGGAAAGAAAGGCUGCCCAAACUGACAGAUUCAGAAGCCCGUGCUCCCACCAGACCGCCCGUGCCUCCCUUACCACAAUGACAUCGAAGUUCCUAGAAUGCACAUGCCCCCCCUUACCACUUUCCCUUAGCCAGUCUUCUCAUCUUAACCACUAACUCAGAGAAGCAUUCAGAAAACCCCACCCCACCCCCAGACCCAGUCAGGAUCCCUGAUGUACUCUAACAUCCUCCUUCACAAAAGUGCCACGUCGUAAUCCUAGUCCCCUCCAGUAGAUCCCUGAGUUCAAAGGCAGGACCAUGUCUAUCUUGUUCACACUGCAUCCCAAGCACAGUGCCCAACAUGUCAUACAAGUUCAGUAUCACAUACUAUUCUAGCCAGCUGUUCAUAUGCCAGUUUCCCUAUAUGAGACUAGGUUCCAUGAGAUGGGACUGUUUUGUUAUCAUAGUACCCCCAGAACUAGGCACAUAAUAGUGUUCAGGGUACAUUUGGGGAAGAUCCAGAUGCCAGAGGCUGCUGUGAGACCCCUACCCGAGGCUGGAACUUACAAUAACGUCGUGCUGGCCCAGCACAGGCAUCUCCCAUAGAGACUGGUUGGUGAAUCUGUUAAAGUAGUAGGGCCGGUUCUCCCUCCUGCUCCAGCACUUCUCCCAGCCCGCAUGUACCAGCUCCUCUGCAAACAAGUAUGGAACCCAGCCUGGGUCAGGGCUCCUCCUGGGGCGCCCUCUGACCCCGCCACCCUGCCACUGCCCCUUGCCAGUACCUGGGAGGUCCUGCACCAGGCGGAUGGGCUUUGGAGAAGAGGGCUGGCUCUGAUUGGAGGUGCCCGGGGAGUGACUCAGCAAGGAUGCUUCCUCCCGGGGGCUGCCGUGGUUCUCAUUGGCCAUCUCAGCACCCACACCGGACCUGCCACACAGAGGACCAAAGGGUGUCAGGGCCAUCAGGGCAUGGAGGUCACUUCCACCCACCACCCAGCAACUACAAGCUAGAGGGCCCCAGUGACCACCUGCAGAUGUGGAGCUCAAUCCCGUCCCGUCCUGGAGGGCCAGCAUGGUGCCCUAGCAGCCUGGGAAUCUAGGCUGCAGUUUCCUCAACUGUAAAAUGGGGCACUCCUAUUGUUCCUUUCACCUGGCAUAUGCUUUCUCCAAUUGUCUGCCUGGCUUGCCACUAGGUUCUCAUCCUCCAGGAAGCCUUCCUUGACUCUUCCCUCCCCAAGCAAGGCAGUCAGAGCCCCUCCUCAGGGCUAUAAACAUCUACAUUGUAGCACUCAGUCUGUGGUCUAUGAGCUGGAUUUUUCUCCCCAUUAAACUGUCACAACUCCCAGGACUGGGAAUUGGGUCCAGUUUAGCGUUCUCCAGAGUGCUCAGCAGGGUACCUGUCCCCAGCAGGAGGUCUAUUUAUUCUGAAAAUAUUUCCAAAGCAGCAAGUGACAAGACAGAACAGGGUCUAUCUUUGAGAAGCUGCUCCCACAAGAAGGAACUGUCACUCCUCUUUCCGCUCCUAUCCAGUAAAAUCUAAUGGGCACAAAGCACAGCCAGGAAGGGACAUGACAUCUAAAUAGAUGCCUCAUUUUACACUACAGGGUGGGAAGCAGGAAGAAAUCUGUUGCUAAAGACCCAGUGGAACCAAGGAAUAUUGAAUUCAGUCCUUCAUAAUCUCCAGGUGAAAUUUUAUUUCAAUAGCAGGAAGGAGGUCAGCUCCUUCAGAUGUGUAUUACCUACUAGCCCCACCCAAAAUACACCCAACACAUGUCUUGAUGAACAAGUAGUUCUCAACCUGGCCAUUAGACUCCUAGAUGGCCAACUGUGACCAGACUGGUGAUCCUAAUGGUGUUUUCAAUAUGUCAAUACCCCAAAGAAAUCAAACAUACCCACCAAAAGACCACAAAGGCACAUUUAAACAUCAGUUAUCUUUGCUUGCUGAAAUUUUAUCAAUUCACUGUGGUCACACUGAUUAUCUCAUGCUGAUCAGAAGCUCUGAUUGGCUGUUGACAACAUCAUAGGAAUCACUGGGACAUUGAUUUUAUUGUACACUCAGUCGUAGACAUCUUUUGUUAAUUUGGAAAGGGAAAAGUAAAUGGUUGUUUCAUUGGUACAGUUUGGCAAAUGAAAAUGCAGGAAGCAAAAGGACAUCCAUACAACAAAAAGGUUUGGAAUCACUGACCAAGGGGAGAAAAAGCUGUAGUUGCCUUGGUUCUCUGUGGAAGAGGGGUUCCUGGUGCCUUGGGGCUGAGCCCACAGGUCUCAAGGCUGAACGAGUUCCCUCUUUUUCUCACCCUCCAAGGUCUGCAAUACUAGCAUGAGAGGAUUUUCUUCUCCGGCCGGAUGGACCCCGAGUCACAGGGUCCCACAGAGGCAGGGAAGAGGCCUGCAGAAAGGCUCAGCACGUGGGUGGG